CCGUGGCUUAUUCAUAAGGUACCGUCACUAUCUUCCCUUAUAAAAGAAGUUUACAAUCCGAAGACCUUCGUCCUCCACGCGGCGUCGCUGCGUCAGGGUUUCCCCCAUUGCGCAAAAUUCCCCA
rnacentral:rRNA from 1 species